GAUGAACGCUGGCGGCGUGCCUAAUACAUGCAAGUCGAGCGAACGGACGAGAAGCUUGCUUCUCUGAUGUUAGCGGCGGACGGGUGAGUAACACGUGGAUAACCUACCUAUAAGACUGGGAUAACUUCGGGAAACCGGAGCUAAUACCGGAUAAUAUUUUGAACCGCAUGGUUCAAAAGUGAAAGACGGUCCUGCUGUCACUUAUAGAUGGAUCCGCGCUGCAUUAGCUAGUUGGUAAGGUAACGGCUUACCAAGGCAACGAUGCAUAGCCGACCUGAGAGGGUGAUCAGCCACACUGGAACUGAGACACGGUCCAGACUCCUACGGGAGGCAGCAGUAGGGAAUCUUCCGCAAUGGGCGAAAGCCUGACGGAGCAACGCCGCGUGUGUGAUGAAGGUCUUCGGAUCGUAAAGCUCUGUUAGUAGGGAAGAACAUAUGUGUAAGUAACUGUGCGCAUCUUGACGGUACCUGAUCAGAAAGCCACGGCUAACUACGUG
rnacentral:rRNA from 1 species